rnacentral:rRNA from 1 species
CAGUCGCCGCGGGAACACGGAGGGUGCAAGCGUUGUCCGGAUUUAUUGGGUUUAAAGGGUGCGUAGGCGGCUAUUUAAGUCAGCGGUGAAUGACUCCGGCUCAACCGGAGCAGUGCCAUUGAUACUGGAUAGCUUGAGUGUUGGAGGGGUACAUGGAAUUGAUGGUGUAGCGGUGAAAUGCAUAGAUACCAUCAGGAACACCGAUAGCGAAGGCAUUGUACUGGCCAACAACUGACGCUGAGGCACGAAAGCAUGGGGAGCGAACAGGAUUAGAGACCCGCGUAGUCCCUGUCUCUUAUAC